AAAACUACUGCCAGAUAAUUAGCUGCAAUUGCUUCAUCCACAGGAGCUCUCUAUCCGGCAUUUGCAGGGCAAGAAGAGCCAGGAGUCUGGAGGAUUUGGUGAGCUGGCAAGAGGAAGACUGUUCUGCUGGUAACAGCAAGUUGCUGCCACUUACAACCCAGAGGCUGAUUUUGCAUGAUAGGGUGGAUGUUUUGUAUUUCUAUCGGGAUAAUAGAAAAGGACUUUUUCUGGGGUAAAGAUGAACCAGCUUGAUUGAGAGAAAAGAUUGGAGAGAGCCAUUAUCAGACAGCUGCAAAAUGAUCUUCGGGUUCAAGAGAUGCCAGAGGGCUCACGUGAAAUAGUCUCCGUAUAUCACUGUCCUGCUGAACAUAUACGUGGCUGGUUGCAGUAAGUCCUUUGAUCCCAUGGAAACUAAAGGAGAGAUUCUCCCUCAACUGAGAGCAGGUGCAUGUUCCAAGGGGCUUAAGGAGAUGGUGCUACUCCCUUUGAAAGUUGUUCUGUUGCUCCCCACCCUUGUCCAGCUCAGUAGUUCCAGCAAUGGCUCCUAGGGGAACUGAAGGCAGGAGAGGGUCUGCAGAAACAUCACUGACUGAGCCUAGAGUUAGACCCUGCCUAAGCUACAAAUACAGCCCUGUCCUCAUAACCAGCUCAUGCCUCUCCUGGCUGACCCCGUGACAAUGCAGACAGUGGAGGUGUGUCCAGCUUUUGCCCCAGCACCUCCCUGUGUAUCUGCAGAGCUGUGUUUGUAACAGUGCAUUCUGGGAAACUCUAGGAAGCUAUCCACUACUGUCUGCGAUAGGAGAGCCCAUGCAAGGGGGGCGGCCUGCCAUGAUACCGUAGGGAAUGAGCCGCGGCCCAGGGAGGGUCAGCUUUGUUGGUGGCUAUCACAAUUUAGGGGCCAAGACUUUCCAAAGACGCUAAUGGUUCUGGCUACUCACCUUGCAAGGGCCUUAUGUUCAGAGACUGAGUGCUUGGGUCCGUCUGAAAUCCAGGCCCCUCUAAGGUGCCUCACGGUGAGCACCUAAAAACAAGUCACUUUUGAAAAAUCUUAGCUUUGAGUUCUAACCACAUCUGCCCCCUCUGCGGGCCCAGCCUAUAGUUCCGAACAAAGCGUGGUUUACCUGCCAGCGCCUCACGGAGAAGUGAAGAUCCACUCCCUAAGGGCAGCUUCUGGGUGCGUCAGUCCUCAGGAGCAGUGGGGCUGGACAACGCUUGGCUCAGCCUGGUUUCCAGGAGAAGAUAAACAACAGGAUCUGUCUUGCUAGGUGGACUUCUGGUUCUGCUGUCAAUCCGCUCAAUCACGUCACCCAACCCACCCACCUGGUCCCUUUUACUGAGUGUGAGGAGUUGGGCCUCCCCUUCCUCAGAGCUGGCUCUACCUUCUCCUAAGCAGCUUUACCCUGAGGAUGCACAUCUGUGGCCCUGCUUAUGGGAAAGGGGGUUAACUCUUUCCCCACCGGCCGAGGGGCAGGCUCUGCGCAGCCCAUCACACUGUCUCAGUAGGCGAUAGACCCCAGCACCACCUGGGGCAAGGCAUGCUGGGAUUUCCUGCUGCACCCAGAACAGAGAGGAUUCAGGAACGUGGUUGCGGGGGGGGGUUCUGUCCAUAUGGGCAAACCCCGGUGGUGAGACCUGCUUACAGCAAGAGGGACACAUAUCAGCCUAGGCUGCUGCCAUGGUUCGCUGCCAUGGUUUCCACCCAAGUAUUAACCAUAUUAUCGGAGGACAUCACCCAUGCCACUAACUGGUUGCAAUUUGUUUACGAGUUCUAGCAGGAACAGGGCCUUGUACUGAUAAGAAGUGCGCCGGAUGGGAAUGUCUGAAGUGAAGAACAUUCAGCAUAGUUGUUAUGGGGAAAAUUAUUGUGCCAGUAACACGCCCAUUUUGCAGCAUUGUAGUAUGCAUGAGGGAGACACUGGGAACCAUUAAAACCCCCUAACAGUAGAGCUUGUUGAAAAUCAGAGUUUCUAGCACGUGGAAGAUUCUGAUAUUUUGAAAUUUCUUUUUGUCCAGAGUCAGGAUGAAAAGUAAAAAUAUCAUGGAAUGGGAAGUUCUGAAACACUUCGAUUCAGAAGUGUCCAAACAUUAUGGUUUGUGGAACCAAACUGAAGUGUUUUGUUUCUACUGGAUUCAACAUUAAUCUGCGUCUUUCUGAGCUGCUGCAGUGCCCUAUGGGAGUUGUUGUUUGGGUGCCUCCUGCCACCUUUCUCCUCUAUGGGCCAGGUUCCUGGCUGGACUGCAUCUCCCAUGAUACAUUAUAAUCAUGUGACUCCCAUGAUGCACUGCAGCAGUUCAACCAGAGGGGAGAUUAUGGUGCAUCGCUAGAGGUACAGUUCAGCUGGGGAGCUUGGCCCACAGAGGCAAAUGGAAGCAUGAGCCUAUAACUCCCACUAGGCACUGUGGCAGCUCAGACUGACAGAUGAAUGUCACACUGAUGCAAAAAGUAAUAUUGUGUUUGCUUGCCUGACAGAGUAUAAAAAAAAUGUCAGCAACACAGAUAUGAUCCCCAUGGAAAAUUUUGAUUUUGCAAAAACUGAAUUUUCUGUCCAAAAAAAAGUAUCAUUGUAAAAUUCUCAACCAGCUCAACUUAACUUACCUUCUGUCCCACCCCACAACUCCCACCAUGAAACUCUGCUGCGCACACUCCUUCUUUGGAGACUUGGCUUUCUGCCCUCCCCCAAACCAAUCAAAUCCUAGCUGGUUUCUGGAAAGAAACACAACAGCUAAGAAUGUCAACUACUUUUAUUCAUCGUUUGUCCAAUAAAAGCACAAAUCCUCUUUGGAAAAAAGGUUCCAAACAUGCACACAAUUUACAUUUUGAAAUAUGUCAGAUCUGUCAGUUUGUCUGUCUACGAAGCAACAACAUCUUUCCGUCGCUAGUGCAGAUGCUGGCAAGAGGCUGUUUAAAGAGCAGUCGUUCAAAUGAGGACAAGGAAAAAGACGCACAAUUGGUACGACUACAGAGUUGCAUUUGAAUUGAAGAGGAGAAAAGAUUUUUGAUAUUGUCAUAAAUAUUCCAUCUCUAACAUAUAGCAAAAUAAUAAUAAUAAAGAAGACAUCCACUUUGUUCUGUCUGAUAUACAGAUAAACAAUAUUGGAGCAUGUAAGACCUCUAUAAAACCUUGGUGAAACUGUGGGCUGGAUUGGAUACUUAUUGCUGAGGGGGAAGUGUCGAGGAGAGAAGUUGGAGCUAUGGAGCUAUCUACUCCAGUUUCAAUAAGACUCGCUAGGAUCAGAGCCUGGGAGCAGUUUGUAAGGGGAUUUCAACCACUGCUUGGACCUUGCUAUGGUAAAUUCUCUGCCCCAUGCUGGUCAGUGGCAGCUACUGGAGAAAAAUGUGACCAAUAAUAGGGAAGUGCAGUUUGGUCUAGUAAUUAAGGCACUCAACUAGAAGUCUAAGAGGCCUGGGUUCUGUUCUUGACUCUGCCAUUGACCUUGUGUAUGACCUCAGGUAAGUCACUUCGCCUCCCAUCCUUCAUCUGUCUUGCCUAUUUCGGUUGUAAGCUCACUGGGACGCGGACUAGCUACGACUGUUAGUAUGUCGAGUGCCUAG